CGGGAAGAUGCAAUAGAGAGAUAGUAUUACAGUUAAAUUUUUACGUGUUAAAUCGUCUUUCAAUUCAUAUUGAUUCAAAUGUUCGUAGACUAUGCAUUUAUACAAACGACAUGACUGACUCAGUAUAACUUAUGAGGUGUUUAAAGAUAGAUCCAUUAGGUGACUCAACUCUGAAUUUGGGUUGUGUAGGAGAACACUACAACCGAGGGGAGGCUCCAGUCUCUCGUGCCACUGGGGUCACUUUAACACACUACCUUAUCUCUCUGACACUUAUAGCAAGAUGGAGAAAAGCACUGGAUCUCACGAUAGUUCUCUGGAAGAGGAAAGGGAGGUAACGCCUUCCACUGACGUUAAUGGAGUGACGGAGCACCAUGAAGAUGGCCCUACCGAGCAGGAAGGCGAGGAAGUGGUGUUGACAGGUUGUGGGGCCUCAGCUUGUUGUAAUCCUCAGAGGGGGCUCUACAGAUUUAUUGGCUUGCUAUUUAUGUGCUUCCUUUCUUUUGGUUCAUACUUCUGUUAUGACACUCCUGGAGCAUUACAAGAUCACAUCAAGGAAGACAUGGAGGUGAACACUACACAGUUUGCCAGUCUUUAUUCACUUUACUCUUGGCCAAAUGUGGUCCUCUGCUUUAUUGGAGGAUUUCUUAUUGACAGAAUCUUCGGCAUUCGAUGGGGAACUAUUAUUUUCUCGUCACUAGUUACUCUUGGUCAAUUCAUCUAUUCACUGGGUGGCAUAGUUGAUCAGUUUUGGCUGAUGCAAUUUGGUAGAUUUGUCUUUGGUAUUGGUGGAGAAUCACUUGCUGUAGCACAAAACAUCUACACUGUUAGUUGGUUCAAGGGGAAGGAGCUCAACACAGUGUUUGGCUUGUUGCUGAGUAUGGCAAGGGUUGGAUCAACAGUCAACUUCCUCACUAUGAUACCUAUCUACAAUUGGGUCAACAAUUUUGCGGAUGGUUAUCGGACACUCGGAAUUUCUUUAAUGCUUGCUGGUAUCACCUGUGUGUUUUCCCUCGCUUGUGCCAUCAUACUUGGUCUCCUGGAUAAGAGGCGAUCUGAAGUAUUGCGCCUUGAUUCCGCCAAGUCUGGAGAGAAGGUUCGGCUUUCAGAUGUCCUGUCAUUUCCACUGUCUUUCUGGCUGCUCUCCAUUAUUUGUGUAUCAUAUUAUGUUGCCAUCUUUCCCUUCAUUGGUCUUGCAAAAGUUUUCUUCAUGCGGAAGUUUGAUUUAGAUGACACAACUUCUAAUGCCGUCAGCAGUAUUGUUUACAUCAUUUCUGCUUUUGCCUCUCCAUUAAUGGGUUUCGUGGUGGAUCGCACUGGUCGUAAUAUUCUUUGGGUGUUUAUUGCUGUGAUCUUCUCCCUGGGCUGUCAUGCUAUGCUCACCUUCACCUUCAUCAAUCCUUUCAUUCCCAUGAGUAUUCUAGGCCUGGCUUACUCCCUUUUGGCCAGUGCUUUGUGGCCAAUGGUCUCCCUUAUCAUCCCUGAGCAUCAACUGGGUACUGCUUAUGGCAUGAUGCAGAGUGUCCAGAAUCUGGGUCUUGCCCUCAUCAGCAUGUUGGCAGGACUGAUAGUGGAUAAGAAAGGUUAUUUGGUUCUGGAGAUAUUCUACAUGGUGUGGCUCUGUGUGGCCUUGAUAUCUACUGUGAUAAUAUGGCUGUCAGACUCGGCAAAGGGAGGAAUAUUGAGUAUUUCCAUCAAUGAGCGACAAAGGCGGGAGGAAGACACUGAACAUUUGCUGGAGACAUAGGUGUGAAGUACUUAAGCAGCAGGUACAGCAUUGUCUAAAAAUAGUUAUCAAUACGAGUGAUGGCGGCACAUUUCGCGCCAGAGAUUCUCACGCGCUGGACUACCAAGACUCCAGUCAGUCUCCCGAACCAUCUGUUUGGCCUGAUGAAAAAGAAAAUUAAUAAGAAAGUCAACUACCACACAUUUCAUUUAUGAAUAAAGUCCAAAUAACAUACACACUUACAAAUGUAAUGUUAUUCAUCAGCCCAGUUUGUUAAGGCGCUCAUCCAUUUGAAAAACACAAAUAUAUAGAGGAACACAGUUCAGUGACUAUGACAUUUACA
rnacentral:misc_RNA from 1 species